UUCGCAAUGCCCGAAAGGGUGACGAUGCGACGCCGCGUGAGCGAAGAAGGCCCUAGGGUUGUAAAGCUCUGUCGAGGGUUAUGAAAUAUAGAUGGGUUAAUACCCCAUUUAUUUGACAAAAGCCCAAAAGGAAGCCACGGCUAACUCUGUGCCAGCAGCCGCGGUAAUACAGAGGUGGCGAGCGUUGUUCGGUAUUAUUGGGCGUAAAGAGCACGUAGGUGGUUUUGUAAGUCAGGUGUGAAAGCCUUCUGUUCAAAGGAAGAACGGCAUCUGAAACUGCAGAUCUUGAGUGUAGGAGGGGAGAGUGGAACUUCUGGUGGAGCGGUGAAAUGCGUAGAUAUCAGAAGGAACGUCGGCGGCGAAAGCGACUCUCUGGCCUAUUACUAACACUGAGGUGCGAAAGUUAGGGGAGCAAACGGGAUUAGAUACCCCGGUAGUCCUAACCGUAAACGAUGGGCACUAAGUAGAGGGGUUUU
rnacentral:rRNA from 1 species